UACAUUAUAUAUAAUAUAAAUUAUACAUAUUUUAUAUCUGUAUAUAUAAUAUAUACAUAUAAAAAUAUGGGGACUGGGCACAGUGGGUCAUGUCUAUAAUCCCAGCACCUUGGGAGGCUGGGACAGGAGGAUCACUUGA
rnacentral:lncRNA from 1 species